CAAUUAUUCAGCGCUCACGCUCUGUAGUCCUCUGAAUAAUGAAGUAAGAAAUCAAAUAUUAAGAGAAGUCAACACAGUGAGAAAUAAUCCGGGUGUGUUUCUGCGCAGGAUUACAGCCUCAAUCUUGACACUUCACACUCAGGCAGAACUUUCAGCGGGGUGAUAUUAAACAGCAGAGCGAGCAGGAGUCAGCUGUAACAGCAAAGUGAGACUUUACACACCUGUGAGAAAAACAACAAAAUAAAACCAUCUGGAGAAAACUGAAGGUUGGAUUUCAAAAUAAAAGCAGAGAAACAUUUUAGUGCGAGAAUAAAAACUAUAAAUUUAACACCGUUCUUCUGUUUUUACUCUUUCUGACAGGACGGUGUGAAAUAUGAUCGAAUUCACCCCCACUGGGAAAUAAAGUCAUUUUUAAUCCUGAUAAAAACAACGGAGCAGAAUUCAACACUAUGAAACCAAAUUG